CCUCACCAUCCCUUCUGCCUGC
rnacentral:miRNA from 1 species